AAUUAUGGUUAAUAUUGUUUAUAUGAUACAGUGUUCAACUACCAGCGAGAGUAGAGACGAUACCGCAGGAAUACCACUACGAUAUUGAAGCAACGACAACACUACAAGACGAGUACCUGGACACUCCUACAGUGUUCUACUGUGAUUUGUACAUACCUAAUACCUCCUACAAGCGAAGAAAGAGCUUCACAUAUUACCCAGGAAGCAUGGAAAGCCUCUCUAGUGUGAGCAGUGUGGCCGCCCUGAGACAGUUGGCCUGGCCGACGCUGACGUUACUAAGUGUAGUCUCACGGCUGACUUUCUUCUAGUAGUGACAGAAGUCCUCUGCCAGUCAGGAAUCGUAUUGUACAACGUAAUGAGUGAGACACUAGUUGCACUGCCAAUUUGAAGAUAAACGGAUGUGCAACGGUUUAAUUGGUUAACUUAAAUAUAAAAAAUCAAUUUAUUUAGUAUUUAAUUUUUGGCAAUUAACUGAACGUGCCAGAUAAGUAUUUUUAAGUACAUUGCAUUAUCUAAAUAAAACAGAUAUGAAGUAAAAUUUGAAAUUUAUCACUAGUGUCGCCUAUUGUGGUGGUCUAUUAUUUAUCAGUUUACUGUUUUACAACGUCAUUGCAGGAACUUAAAGGUGUUUAAAUGAAAACAAAUAACUUAAAACUGCGUUUAAUGUACUUUAUUGUUAAUAUAAUUUUUUUCGAAUGUAGCAUUGCUAUUUAAUACUUGAUAAUUGAUACUUGUAAUUCGUUCUUCUUGUAUAUAUGUAUAAUGCUGUGUAUAUAGCUUGUAUUGUAUUUCAAGAUACGAUAAUAUUUAUAUACUAAAAGCUAUUUUAUUACUAUAACUAGAAAGUUUGGAUGUAAUUAUUCUAACUAAUAACAUUUUAUUCCUUUAAUAAAUACAGGGUAAUGCUAGUGAUUUUAUAUUAUUGUAUUUAGGCUUUCAGUGUUUCUUUACCAUUUAUAUCGUAAGCAUUAAUUAUUAUUGACUUUCUUAGUAUAAGUUGUAAGAGUUUGGCAUCGAAUUCAUGUUAUAUAUUAAACUAUACUAAAAAGACAUCAGUGUUUAGUGGGUUAUACUAGAUUAUAAUACUAAUGUCUGUCAGUACGUUGUCAAAAGUUCCUAAUUCUCAUCUGAUUAGAAAAAGUGAAACCAAGCCGCGUACAAGUUGCAUAAUUUUACUACUUGUAUAAUAUUGUAAAUGAUCGAAACAUAAUUUUAUGAAACUGAGAACACGUGAAAUGUUUUACAAGGUGACGUACACUAGGUUCAUGACAAAUAAUCUUUAGAUAUACAAUAGUAGACUGUGUUUGAUUUAAAUCUGAUAUAUUUAUUACAAGGAUAUUAGUUAUCAAGUUGGAAAUGCAUGUUUGAAUUAACUUAAGUAUACCAUAACGACUUGUGCAAUGCGUAUGCACGCAAUUUAAAUAUAUAUUACUCAUUCGUCAACGAUAUCCUUACAUUUUUUAUAAAGAUGUUUUUGCUGUAUAAACAUCCAUUAAGGUAAACAUUUAUGGAAAGUAAAAAACAAUAUUAAAAGAUACAGUAUGCUGAUUAAGUAAUAAACAGCAUACAUUUUUCUUAAGGAUACAAUUUAUAACAUUAAUAAUGUACAUGAUCUGAACCCUCACCCAAUCCAGGAAAAUAAAUGGGACAUCUCAAUCGUGAGUACAUAAUCUAGCAUUUAAUUCACCACUCCUUAAUUUAAGAAUAUUAACAAAUAUAUCCUAAAAAUAUUGAGGGCUUAUAGAGAGUUUUUACAAGCCAUAUAUUUUCAUUCGUACAAGUAAAAUAAAAUCCAAAAGCAAAAAAGAACCCUAAAUUAAUUACAGUUAAAAGAAAAAUACUGAAUCAAAAUAACAUUUGAUUCAAGUACAUAAUAUUAUAUUAAAAAAUGAAUUAUAUUUUGAUUGAAAAAAGAGAAAUAAUACUACUUGUAAAAUUGUAAUCCUUAGUUCCUAAACUAUUGUUUUAACUACAUGUUCUAUCGAAAAUUGUAUAAUUCCAAUCAUUUGAGUGUGUAUACACUCAAUUUUUUAACUUAUUUCCUUAAUAAAGUAAGCCGAUUCUCGUACAUAGAACUUUCCAUGAUUAUAAUAAAGGGUUGUAAUUCAUCCCUUACGGACAUCUUCUUGAGUAGAUAAUAAAUUAUUUAUUGUCUCAAAAUAUAUAGGGUUCAAUCUUGUGUGUUGACACGAAGAGUUGUUGCGUCGUUUAAUUUGCUACAAUAGUAUUAUUCACUGAUAUAGUCAUAAUUAUUCAUAUAUUUCAGGACAGCAAUAUGAUGAUAAAAUUAAAAUGGUUUUGCUUUCGUAUAUAAACAUAUACCAUGUAUUAAAUAUACAAGUUUUAAGACGCAAUGAAUUUAAAAAUUCAACAUUUAAUAUCCAACAUGUAAAAUCACUGAUUACAUUUUGCCAAAAUUUCAACUGAUGAAAAAUUAUUCUGUAACUUAUUAUCGACUAUAGUUACACUGGGUCGUCAAUAUCCUCAAACCUUUGAAAAAUGUUCUAAAUAACGAUAUUCAAAUUAAAUCCAUAUUAUUUGUUGAACAACGAUAUACAGAUAAGAUAUUCUAGUCAUUAAGUAUUUUCUAGUCAUAUCCUUCAAAUAAUUUUAGUUGCAAAAUGUGAUUGUAAAUUAAUUAGAUUUGUUGAUUGUUACCAUAAGAAUAAUAACCUUUUGUUUUAAGUGCUACUGUUUGCAUUAUUGUAAGUGUACAUAAGGCUAUUUUUCAUUACAUUAAAAAGGAAUUCGUUUA
rnacentral:lncRNA from 1 species